UGAGUAACACGUAUCCAACCUGCCGUCUACUCUUGGACAGCCUUCUGAAAGGAAGAUUAAUACAAGAUGGCAUCAUGAGUCCGCAUGUUCACAUGAUUAAAGGUAUUCCGGUAGACGAUGGGGAUGCGUUCCAUUAGAUAGUAGGCGGGGUAACGGCCCACCUAGUCUUCGAUGGAUAGGGGUUCUGAGAGGAAGGUCCCCCACAUUGAACUGAGACACGGUCCAA
rnacentral:rRNA from 1 species